rnacentral:rRNA from 1 species
UCAAUUAUUCUAUAGCCUCUGGCUAUAGGAAAUUGUUAGUGGCAGACGGGUGAGUAAUGCGUAGGAAUCUACCUAGUAGUACGGAAUAGCCAUUAGAAAUGGUGGGUAAUACUGUAUAAUCCCCGAGGGGGAAAGAUUUAUCGCUAUUAGAUGAGCCUACGUUAGAUUAGCUAGUUGGUGAGGUAAUGGCUUACCAAGGCUAUGAUCUAUAGCUGGUCUGAGAGGACGAUCAGCCACACUGGAACUGAGAUACGGUCCAGACUCCUACGGGAGGCAGCAGUGGGGAAUAUUGGACAAUGGGCGAAAGCCUGAUCCAGCUAUGCCGCGUGAGUGAAGAAGGCCUUCGGGUUGUAAAACUCUUUCAAUAGGGAAGAUAAUGACGGUAC